rnacentral:rRNA from 1 species
GGAUUAGUUUGAUCCUGGCUCAGGAUGAACGCUAGCGGCAGGCUUAACACAUGCAAGUCGAGGGGUAGGUUACUUCGGUAACUGAGACCGGCGCACGGGUGCGUAACGCGUAUACAAUCUACCUUUUACAGAGGGAUAGCCCAGAGAAAUUUGGAUUAAUACCUCAUAGUAUUUUCGGAUGGCAUCAUUUGAUUAUUAAAGUUCCAACGGUAAAAGAUGAGUAUGCGUCCCAUUAGCUAGAUGGUAAGGUAACGGCUUACCCAUGGCAACGAUGGGUAGGGGUCCUGAGAGGGAGAUCCCCCACACUGGUACUGAGACACGGACCAGACUCCUACGGGAGGCAGCAGUGAGGAAUAUUGGACAAUGGGCGCAAGCCUGAUCCAGCCAUGCCGCGUGCAGGAAGAAGGUCCUAUGGAUUGUAAACUGCUUUUAUACAGGAAGAAACACCUCUACGUGUAGAGACUUGACGGUACUGUAUGAAUAAGGACCGGCUAACUCCGUGCCAGCAGCCGCGGUAAUACGGAGGGUCCAAGCGUUAUCCGGAAUCAUUGGGUUUAAAGGGUGCGCAGGCGGAUCAAUAAGUCAGGGGUGAAAAAUUUCAGCUUAACUGGAAUCGUGCCUUUGAUACUGUUGGACUAGAGUAUAAUUGACGUGACUGGAAUGUGAUGUGUAGCGGUGAAAUGCUUAGAUAUGUCACAGAACGCCAAUCGUGAAGACAGGUCACGAAAUUAUUACUGACGCUCAUGCACGAAAGCGUGGGGAUCAAACAGGAUUAGAUACCCUGGUAGUCC